UUACUUACCUGGCAGGGGAGACACCAUAAUCAACAAGGGAAUUUUCCCAGGGUGAGGCUCAACCAUGACCCUUGUGAUCUGACUGGCCCCUACUAUUUCCCCAAUUAUGGGAAAUUUGACUGGAAUUUGUGAUAGUAGAGGACUGUGUUUCUACUCUUUCCUUCA